rnacentral:rRNA from 1 species
AACACGUGAGUAACCUGCCCCUGACUUCGGGAUAAGCCUGGGAAACUGGGUCUAAUACCGGAUAUGACUUUCUCGUGCAUGCGGGAGGGUGGAAAGUUUUUUCGGUUGGGGAUGGGCUCGCGGCCUAUCAGCUUGUUGGUGGGGUGAUGGCCUACCAAGGCUUCGACGGGUAACCGGCCUGAGAGGGCGACCGGUCACACUGGGACUGAGACACGGCCCAGACUCCUACGGGAGGCAGCAGUGGGGAAUAUUGCGCAAUGGGCGGAAGCCUGACGCAGCGACGCCGCGUGGGGGAUGACGGCCUUCGGGUUGUAAACCUCUUUCAGCAGGGACGAAGGGCUUCGGUUUGACGGUACCUGCAGAAGAAGCGCCGGCUAACUACGUGCCAGCAGCCGCGGUAAUACGUAGGGCGCAAGCGUUGUCCGGAAUUAUUGGGCGUAAAGAGCUCGUAGGCGGUUUGUUGCGUCUGUCGUGAAAGCCCACGGCUUAACCGUGGGUUUGCGGUGGAUACGGGCAGACUUGAGGCAGGUAGGGGAGAAUGGAAUUCCCGGUGUAGCGGUGAAAUGCGCAGAUAUCGGGAGGAACACCGGUGGCGAAGGCGGUUCUCUGGGCCUGUACUGACGCUGAGGAGCGAAAGCGUGGGGAGCGAAC